CAGGACGAACGCUGGCGGCAUGCCUAACACAUGCAAGUCGAACGGGGGUAGCAAUACCCUAGUGGCGAACGGGUGAGUAACACAUAAGCAAUCUGCCCUUCACAGGGGGAUAACGGCGGGAAACUGCUGCUAAUACCGCAUAAGACCACAGUACCGCAUGGUACAGGGGUAAAAAACAAAUCAGUGGUGAAGGAUGAGCUUAUGUCCCAUUAGCUAGUUGGUGAGAUAACAGCCCACCAAGGCGACGAUGGGUAGCCGACCUGAGAGGGUGAUCGGCCACACUGGAACUGAGACACGGUCCAGACUCCUACGGGAGGCAGCAGUGGGGAAUAUUGGGCAAUGGAGGAAAAACCUCUUACCCAGCAAUGCCGCGUGAGUGAAGAAGGUCUUCGGAUUGUAAAGCUCUUUGAUUGGGGACGAAGAAAGUGACGGUACCCAAAGAACAAGCCCCGGCUAACUACGUGCCAGCCGCAGC
rnacentral:rRNA from 1 species